rnacentral:misc_RNA from 1 species
AAGUCGUAACAAGGUUUCCGUAGGUGAACCUGCGGAAGGAUCAUUACCACGUGUAUACUCACGUAUUAACCAAACGCGAACUGUAUGUCCUGUGCUUGGCUGGAGUGAUGCGGGAGGGAUCGGUGCGAGUUUUUACUCUAACUUCCGGUCUGCAAUCCAUUUGUGAAAACGAAUGAGGUUGAGCUUCAGUCAAGUGGCAGUAGAUGCACUCGAGGUGUAUGCCGGCACCCUGGCAUGCAUUGAGGGUACCCUUUUCUUGACCUAAUUUACUGAUUCGUUUGUUUGCUUUUGAAUUCCUGUUUAAUCGCAGUUGAGUUCGAGUAAAUGACACAUACACAAUAAUAUACAACUCUUAGCAACGGAUAUCUUGGUUCUC